UUCACUUCUUGCUGUUUUAUUGCAUAUUACUGUGCGCUCCUGAGCAGCAGGAGCAGAUUCAGGCAAUUACAAUCAAGUCAGGGCACACGCCGUGGCUGAGCAACACGAUCAUGAUGAGGAUACUGAUGAGGCACUUAUCGAAAACCCCACAUCAUCCACACUCAUCAGCCACAACAUGUCACCCCAAAUGAGGCAUCAGCUGCCUUCAAAUGGCUCAUUGCACACUGUUUACGGCUUUCUUUGGACCCACUUUUGAUUUUGCGGUCAGGACUUAGUUCAAACAGCAGCUGACUGGCACUGGCAAGCCUCGGGAUUCAGCAGAGCUGACUUCCCAGGAGUCGGGAGUGUUUUGACACGGGGCCUGACCAAUGGAGAGGAAAGGUCCCAGUUCAGCCCCCCCAAACAUCAGUCCCUCUGAGAGUGGGAGGAUGAGUUAUUUCAGAGGAGUUCGAAAUCAGAAGAGGAGGGGCAGCACAAGAGAGGGGGAAAGCAAGCAAACAAGAAAGAAUGAGCAAGUAAGGAGAACACAUGAAUGCUUCCUUAGGAUCAGCCCCCUGCUUGAGUGAGGGUCAGGGAUGAGCCAAAAAGGACCAACUCCAAAACAGAGACAGAGACUCUCCCAGCCAGCUGAUAGGCACUCAAAAGAGGGAUUUAGAGACUUACUGGAAUAGCAAAACCAUGUCCAGACCCUUGCCUAAAUCAAGUGGAGUGAGAGCUCUGAUUGGUUACUGCCACAGAGCAUCACCCUGGGCUGAACUGGAGCAGAGAUGCUUUCUCCUGCCACCACUGCAUGGAAACAGAUAUUUCUGCAGCACGGAUUAG
rnacentral:lncRNA from 12 species